UACGGGGGGGGUAAGCGUUGUUCGGAAUUACUGGGCGUAAAGGGCUCGUAGGCGGCCAACUAAGUCAGACGUGAAAUCCCUCAGCUUAACUGGGGAACUGCGUCUGAUACUGGAUGGCUUGGAUUCGGGAGAGGAAUGCGGAAUUCCAGGUGUAGCGGUGAAAUGCGUAGAUAUCUGGAGGAACACCUGCGGCGAAGGCGGGUUGCUGGGCCGACACUGACGCUGAUGCGCGAAAGCCAGGGGAGCGAACGGG
rnacentral:rRNA from 1 species